rnacentral:rRNA from 1 species
UACGAAGGGGGCUAGCGUUGCUCGGAAUGACUGGGCGUAAAGGGCGCGUAGGCGGUUCAUACAGUCAGAUGUGAAAUUCCUGGGCUCAACCUGGGGGCUGCAUUUGAUACGUGUGGACUAGAGUGGGGAAGAGGGUCGUGGAAUUCCCAGUGUAGAGGUGAAAUUCGUAGAUAUUGGGAAGAACACCGGUGGCGAAGGCGGCGACCUGGUCCUUGACUGACGCUGAGGCGCGAAAGCGUGGGGAGCAAACGGG